rnacentral:lncRNA from 1 species
AGCAACGUCCUUGGCUGGGCACGUGUCUCUGGAUCAAUGCCCUGUGCUCCUUGACCUCUGGACCUGUGAAACUGCUCUCUUGGGAAAAAAAUGCCAGGAAACUUACUUUAUUUUUUAAAGAAAAAACUCCUGCUAGAGAAGAAUGAAACCUCUACAGCAACAAUACGCUCACCAGCAUGCUUUGAAACCCAGAGGAAAGAUUCACUUUGGCACAGGUGAAGAUCGAGAUCACGUAUAAACAUCCACAGUUUGAUCUCAAGCUUCAGUGUAU